UAUUUUGACUAUACGAAGGUAUUGAAAUAAGAUCUUAAAUGGGUGCUAAGAGAAUGGCUGUACAAAGAUUUUCUUUCUUGGAUUAAUUAAUUAGAAGUUGGUUUUUAAGUGAAAAAACUUAAAUUUAAUUUUGGGACAAGAAGACCCUAUGAAUUUUUACUAAACAGAUGCAAGAAAGGUGCUUGCAUUUAUUUAGUUUGGUUGGGGCGAUUUUUAAAGAUUAAUAAUCUUUAGACUUUUGUAAAUUGAUCCAUCAUUGAUGAUUAUUUUAAAAAAAUACUCUAGGGAUAACAGCGUUAUAAUUUUGGAUAGUUCCUAUUGAUAAAAUUGAUUGCGACCUCGAUGUUGGAUUAAGAUACUUUUGUAAUGAAGAAGUUACAGAAAGGAGUUUGCUCAACUUUUAAUAUCUU
rnacentral:rRNA from 1 species